rnacentral:rRNA from 1 species
ACGAACCGUCCAAACGUUAUUCGGAAUCACUGGGCUUAAAGGGUGCGUAGGCGGCCAUGUAAGUGAGGUGUGAAAUCCCUCGGCUCAACCGAGGAACUGCGCUUCAUACUGCAUGGCUUGAGGGAGACAGGGGUAAGCGGAACUGAUGGUGGAGCGGUGAAAUGCGUUGAUAUCAUCAGGAACACCGGUGGCGAAAGCGGCUUACUGGGUCUCUUCUGACGCUGAGGUACGAAAGCUAGGGUAGCGAACGGGAUUAGAUACCCCGGUAGUCCUAGCUGUAAACGAUGAGCACUUGGUUGGGGAUCCUCCCAUAGGUUCUCGACCGUAGCGAAAGUGUUAAGUGCUCCGCCUGGGGAGUAUGGUCGCAAGGCUG